UGGCGGACGGGUGGGUAAUGUCUGGGAAACUGCCUGAUGGAGGGGGAUAACUACUGGAAACGGUAGCUAAUACCGCAUAACGUCGCAAGACCAAAGAGGGGGACCUUCGGGCCUCUUGCCAUCGGAUGUGCCCAGAUGGGAUUAGCUAGUAGGUGGGGUAAAGGCUCACCUAGGCGACGAUCCCUAGCUGGUCUGAGAGGAUGACCAGCCACACUGGAACUGAGACACGGUCCAG
rnacentral:rRNA from 1 species